UAAAAACAAAGAAGAGAGGGGAAGGGAGGUUUCAGUCAGUUCACAGCAAACCUGUGAUUUUCAUCCGAGUUGUACACUUUAGCCUUAAUAAAAGUACUACGUCCUCCCGAACUACAUUACAAACCAACGCAUAGUGUGUGUGUUUGCAUAUAUACUGUGAAGAAAUGGAUGGACCUUGAACAUAACUCAACCACAAAAAGUUAGGGGCACACCCAGGACUAGAAAAUCUAAGCACAGAAAACAUAAUACGGGGGAUCAAUAUUGAGAAAGAGAAACAUAACAACAGGGGUCGAG
rnacentral:misc_RNA from 1 species